rnacentral:tRNA from 1 species
GGAACUAUAGCUCAGCGGUAGAGCGGUCGACUGCAGAUCGACAGGUCUCCGGUUCAAUCCCGGAUGGUUCCU